GCCGGUUUGGCUCAGUGGAUAGAGCGUUGGCCUGUGAACCAAAGGGUUCCAGGUUCGAUUCCGGUCAAGGGCA
rnacentral:tRNA from 1 species